rnacentral:rRNA from 1 species
GCAAGUCGUGCGAGAAAGUAUCUUCGGAUAUGAGUAGAGCGGCGGACGGGUGAGUAACGCGUAGGAAUCUACCUAGUAGAAGGGGAUAGCCCGGGGAAACCCGGAUUAAUACCGUAUACCUCCUUCGGGAGAAAGAAGGCCUCUCUUUGAAGCUUUCGCUACUAGAUGAGCCUGCGUAAGAUUAGCUUGUUGGUGAGGUAAAGGCUCACCAAGGCUACGAUCUUUAGCUGGUCUGAGAGGACGACCAGCCACAUUGGGACUGAGACACGGCCCAGACUCCUACGGGAGGCAGCAGUGGGGAAUAUUGGACAAUGGGCGCAAGCCUGAUCCAGCCAUACCGCGUGUGUGAAGAAGGCCUUCGGGUUGUAAAGCACUUUAAGCAGGGAGAAAAAGUUAUAAGCUAAUACCUUAUGACCUUGAUGUUACCUGCAGAAUAAGCACCGGCUAAUUCCGUACCAGCAGCCGCGGUAAUACGGAAGGUGCAAGCGUUAAUCGGAAUUACUGGGCGUAAAGCGCGCGUAGGUGGUUUGUUAAGUUGGAUGUGAAAGCCCUGGGCUCAACCUAGGAACUGCAUCCAAAACUAACUCACUAGAGUACGAUAGAGGGAGGUAGAAUUCAUAGUGUAGCGGUGGAAUGCGUAGAUAUUAUGAAGAAUACCAGUGGCGAAGGCGGCCUCCUGGAUCUGUACUGACACUGAGGUGCGAAAGCGUGGGUAGCGAACAGGAUUAGAUACCCUGGUAGUCCACGCCGUAAACGAUGACAACUAGCUGUUGGGAGACUACGUCU